rnacentral:rRNA from 1 species
GAUGAACGCUAGCUACAGGCUUAACACAUGCAAGUCGAGGGGCAGCGCAGUGUAGCAAUACAUGGGCGGCGACCGGCGCACGGGUGCGUAACGCGUAUCCAACCUUCCCGUUACUCUCGGAUAGCCUUCCGAAAGGGAGAUUAAUACGAGAUGGUGUUGAAAUUCCGCAUGUUAUUUCAACUAAAGAUUCAUCGGUAACGGAUGGGGAUGCGUGACAUUAGGUAGAUGGCGGGGUAACGGCCCACCAUGCCGACGAUGUCUAGGGGUUCUGAGAGGAAGGUCCCCCANACUGGAACUGAGACACGGUCCAGACUCCUACGGGAGGCAGCAGUGAGGAAUAUUGGUCAAUGGCCGGAAGGCUGAACCAG